CCUACGGGUGGCAGCAGUGGGGAAUAUUGCACAAUGGGGGAAACCCUGAUGCAGCGACGCCGCGUGAGUGAAGAAGUAUCUCGGUACGUAAAGCUCUAUCAGCAGGGAAGAAAAUGACGGUACCUGACUAAGAAGGCCCGGAUAACUACGUGCCAGCAGGCGCGGUAAUACGUAGGGGGCAAGCGUUAUCCGGAUUUACUGGGUGUAAAGGGAGCGUAGACGGCAGGACAAGUCUGGAGUGAAAUCCCGGGGCUUAACCCCGGAACUGCUUUGGAAACUGUGCGGCUGGAGUGCAGGAGGGGUAGGCGGAAUUCCUGGUGUAGCGGUGAAAUGCGUAGAUAUCAGGAGGAACACCGGUGGCGAAGGCGGCUUACUGGACUGCAACUGACGUUGAGGCUCGAAAGCGUGGGGAGCAAACAGGAUUAGAUACCCUAGUAGUC
rnacentral:rRNA from 1 species